rnacentral:rRNA from 1 species
UACGUAGGUGGCAAGCGUUGUCCGGAUUUAUUGGGUUUAAAGGGUGCGUAGGCGGCUUUGUAAGUCAGUGGUGAAAUAUGGCAGCUCAACUGUCAAGGUGCCAUUGAUACUGCAGGGCUUGAGUACAGAUGAGGUAGGCGGAAUUGACGGUGUAGCGGUGAAAUGCGUAGAUAUCUGGAGGAACACCGGAGGCGAAGGCGGAUCACUGGACUGCCACUGACGCUGAGGCGCGAAAGCUAGGGGAGCAAACAGG